CGUUAAGUAGCAAGGUUAAGCACUUAAGGUGUGGAGCCGUAGCGAAAGCGAGUUUUAACUGAGCGUUCAGUUACUUGACGUAGACCCGAAACCGGGCGACCUACCCAUGAGCAGGAUGAAGCGAAAGUAAAAUUUCGUGGAGGUCCGAACCCACGAGCGUUGAAAAGCUCGGGGAUGACUUGUGGGUAGCGGUGAAAUUCCAAUCGAGCCCGGAGAUAGCUGGUUCUCCCCGAAAUAGCUUUAGGGCUAGCCUCAAGGUGAGAGAUACGGAGGUAGAGCACUGAAUGUCCUAGGGGGUAUUGCACCUACCGAAGACUAUCAAACUCCGAAUGCCGUCAUCUUAUACUUGGGAGUCAGACUGUGGGUGAUAAGAUUCAUAGUCGAAAGGGCAACAGCCCAGAUCG
rnacentral:rRNA from 1 species